rnacentral:lncRNA from 1 species
UACUUGGAUUCCGGAUCCAAUGGGCUCUUACACAAUCUCUUCAAGAUUCAAACCUCUUGAAGGCUUUAACACUCGAUUUUUACAAGAAUGAAUCCCUUAACCUAGCUUAAGGAUAGCUCAAAUACAAGACAAAGCUAGGAUGACACAUAAGAGUGCGCUAAAGGAUAUGCAAGUGAUGAUUUAAUGCACUAAGAAAGAAAUGAGAGCUUUUUGGUCAAGAACAAGUAGGUAG